CGAUUUCUGCCUUUUUUCAGAGCGUUGUACACAUCACUAAACUAGAAUCUGCUGCUGGGAGGUUCUGCAGAACUUUGGCCCGCUUUGCUAAUAAAAUUUAGCUGAUGCUAAGUGCAUUAGCCUAUUAGCCGCUGUGAAGCGGCACUGCUUCAAUCAUUUUUAUCGGAGCCGCUAAAAGGCACCGCAUUCCAGGCUUUUAUUUUACUGGCAGCAACAUGGCACAGAGUUUCUGUUUGGUACCCAACCAAGUAAAAACGAAGUAGUUCAUACCUGUGUCCGAAUUACUGCCCUAACCCCUAUAUAGUGCCCUAUAUAGUGCGGUCGCCAUUUUGUAGUGCUGUCCGAAUCUACAGUUCAAAAAUCAUGUGCACUAGAAAUUUCCCAGAAUUCUCUACGAAAAACCAGUGUGGAUCGAUGCUCACUCGAUCGGCGAAUAUUGCCCAGAAUGCACUGCGUUCAUACCAGAAUACCCACAAUACACUGCGUUUGAAUUAUUCGAAGAUGGCGGACGGUUGCGCUAGAAAGAGGACUUAAAAAUGGACAGACGAGGAUGAGGAAAAUCUGAUCCAUCUGUGGAUGGAGAAAGAUAGCCUGUUUGUUAUCAGGCAAGCUCGUGCCGGAUGGGAAGUCAUGUGUGUCACAGUUGGAGCUAAAAGGAAAGCAGAGAUCUGUCCUUGCAGACGGACGCCACUUUACCCGUCCUACUGGUUCCUGCUGUGGCUCAACAUCUGUGGCUCCCAGCAGUCCCCUUUGCUGAUGCACAGAUCGUGCAGAACUGAACUGCAGGCAAUGAUUUUCAUUGCAAAGGUUGGUUUUACUUCCAGUGCCCCCAGAAAUAUUGCUCUCCUCCUCAUUUGCCAAAUGCUCUCUCUCCACCACAGAGCAUGCCUUGGCGUGGUGCUGGUUGUAACGGGCCUGAACCGCAUUCCUCAUGGGUUCCCUGUAGGGUGUCAGCAGCGUGAUGGGAUGAGCAAUGCAGGGAUACCCACCAUCACCCAAAAGGAUCCUUCAGGUGGGUAAUGUUUGAUUUACAUAAAUUGGGCUUUUACGUAGAACGUGUGAACUGUGGACUGAUCCUUGAUUCCCAACAAAAAUAUCUCUAAAUUUGGCUUAGAGUCACAUACAGCCUGCAGUUGAAUGGAAUAAAAAAGCUUCCUGUUAAAAUAACAAGCUGCAUUUUCUUUUAGGGCCUUUAUUCUUCAGUGGCAGCCAUCAAUGCUCCCCACGACCUUUUGGAAGGUGGAAGACCAAGCAAGCUGCUAAAAGACCAGAGGUGACUAAUGGCCCUGGCUACCACACUGUAUGAUGUGCCACACGCCAGCCAGAAAAGAAACACCAGGACCUCAGUCUCCUGUGCCCCCCCUAGAGUGUGAGGAACCCCAAGCUGCUCCACCAGAUGCUCAAUGGUCCUGCGGGUCAACCGAUCUGCAGGUCUGCCGGUCUGGUUUUGUGUCGGACUGAGCGUCAGCGUGAAGGGCCACGACAGACACCUUUAUGUUUGCAAAGCAGUAGAGACGUGGAAGACCCUGUAAAAUAGAAAAAUAAUUAUUUCAUUGAGAAAAUUAAAUCUGAUUUUUUUGAAUGUUUCAUUUUAUUCUGAUGUCUUACAUUUUAGUUUAUGACGUAUUUAUUAAUGCUGGAAAAUCUCGUGGGUUUUUUUUUGGCUGGGUUUUUGGAUUUUUAUAUAAAUAUUAAAAAAUUAAAGUAUUUUUGUUUAAAACAAGUGAUAUGGUUUGACUCUGAAUAAAAAAUACUAAACUUUGAACUCACAAGUGUUUCAUGUAGUUAGACUAUACAGUUCAUAGUCCAGUGUUGAAAAAGAAUUUUAAACUCUUACCCAGCAGACUGUGUAAUCUUGAGCACAAUUAGUGACAAAUGCUUAAAUUGAACUAAUAAAAAAACUUUAAGUUUAACUUACAGAUGGUUUAUGUCUGGUCAGGGGCAUCCAGAGGAAAUCUUCUGAGACGUCUGCUUCUCCUUGCCGUCCUGUGAUGCUGCAUAUCUGCUCGUUUUUGGUUUGAUCCCAUGAAAAACGGUUGAAUUAUUGCCAGGAACACGGACAGAUUCAUAUAUAAAGCUAUUUUCAGUAAGGUAGAAGAGAAAACUACAGAAAAAAAUGCCUCCUCGCAAGAGCCCGUAAAUCGUUCAGCGGCACAAAAACAAAUAUUGCCAUGGAGUAAUAAAAUAGGGGUUUAUUUAUCAACAAAUACAUAAAAUCACCACCAAUGUGUUUGUAAUUUUAUUAUUUAUAAAUCAGCCACGUUUUCCAUGAUCAGAACACAGCAGAUGCAUCAAUAGUCUUCAUAAAAUGUUCAUAUUUAUUAUAUUUUUAAUUUGACAAAUGGGUGUCAUUCUCCGCGUUAAAUAGAAGUAGUUCCCCCCAGACCAGGUGGUGGCGGUAAUGCGCCACUUUGUUUCCGUGCCAAGCGCCAUUUGAAAACACCCGAAAGAGAAAACUAGUGAGCACGGGUGUCCGAAUUGCUUUGAAAAUUCAGAGAACUAUAUAGAGAACUAUAUAGUGCCGCACUAUAUAGGGUUUUAGUAGUUAGGGGUUAGGGCGGUAAUUCGGACACAGUCCAUGUCUCAUAAGAAGGAAACAAGCUCCCUCUAACUGAGAUCUUCCUGUUGUCUUGCGUGGUAUAGAGCUGCUCAAAGAGGCUCUGUGGGCUCUGCUGCCAACUAGCGGUCGGAGGUCGAAGUGGAAAACAACGUGCAGAAAUAAUUAAAUAUCUUCCAGACAGCAUUUUGAAUCCAUACAAG
rnacentral:lncRNA from 1 species